CAACCCAUGUGAACAUACCUACUGUUGCUUCGGCGGGAUUGCCCCGGGCGCCCUCGUGCGCCCCGGAUCAGGCGCCCGCCUAGGAAACUUAACUCUUGUUUUAUUUUGGAAUCUUCUGAGUAGUUUUUACAAAUAAAUAAAAACUUUCAACAACGGAUCUCUUGGUUCUGGCAUCGAUGAAGAACGCAGCGAAAUGCGAUAAGUAAUGUGAAUUGCAGAAUUCAGUGAAUCAUCGAAUCUUUGAACGCACAUUGCGCCCGCCAGUAUUCUGGCGGGCAUGCCUGUCUGAGCGUCAUUUCAACCCUCAUGCCCCUAGGGCGUGGUGUUGGGGAUCGGCCAAAGCCCGCGAGGGACGGCCGGCCCCUAAAUCUAGUGGCGGACCCGUCGUGGCCUCCUCUGCGAAGUAGUAAUAUUCCGCAUCGGACAGCGACGAGCCCCUGCCGUUAAACCCCCAACUUUCCAAGGUUGACCUCAGAUCAGGUAGGAAUACCCGCUGAACUUAA
rnacentral:rRNA from 1 species